rnacentral:rRNA from 1 species
UAUGGCCAUACCACCCUGAACGAGUCCAAUCUCGUCUAAUCUUGGAAGCUAAGCACGGCCGGGCCUGGUUAGUACUUGGAUGGGAGUCCAAUAGUCUGCAUCUGGGUACUGGCUGUAU